UACGUAGGGUGCAAGCGUUGUCCGGAAUUAUUGGGCGUAAAGAGCUCGUAGGCGGUCUGUCGCGUCGAAUGUGAAAACCCGGGACUCAACUCCGGGCCUGCAUUCGAUACGGGCAGACUAGAGUUCGGUAGGGGAGACUGGAAUUCCUGGUGUAGCGGUGAAAUGCGCAGAUAUCAGGAGGAACACCGGUGGCGAAGGCGGGUCUCUGGGCCGAUACUGACGUGAGGAGCGAAAGCGUGGGGAGCAAACAGG
rnacentral:rRNA from 1 species